rnacentral:rRNA from 1 species
UACGUAGGGUGCGAGCGUUAAUCGGAAUUACUGGGCGUAAAGCGUGCGCAGGCGGUUUUGUAAGCCAGAUGUGAAAUCCCCGGGCUUAACCUGGGAAUGGCAUUUGGGACUGCAAAGCUUGAGUGUGGCAGAGGGGACUGGAAUUCCUGGUGUAGCAGUGAAAUGCGUAGAGAUGUGGAGGAAUACCGAUGGCGAAGGCAGCCCCCUGGGAUAACACUGACGCUCAUGCACGAAAGCGUGGGGAGCAAACAGG